ensembl:snoRNA
CGUACCCCUAGAAGCACUGCAUGUGUGGCUGCUGUGUCACAUGUGUGAAGUAGGUGGCAGAGAGGAAAGAGGCCAUGUCUAAGCUCAGUGUUCUAACCUGUGAGCAUCUCAAUGGCUAGUAGCCUAACUUC